rnacentral:lncRNA from 1 species
AGUUAGAAAUCAAUUAAAUUCGUGAACUAUUACAUCACAUAUAAAAAUAAAAAACAUUAAAACUUUUGAAUAAAAUAACAUAUAUAUAGAUGUUAGGAGAAUCAAACCCGUUCACUAUGCAUGGCGUGCAACAAACUGAAAUAUUUUGGUCCACCCACAUGACUAAAUAAUAUGUCUUCUUGCAUGUUACCCAUAAUUCUCUUCUGUAUAUUAUUAGACAUAGUUAAGAUAUAACUUUAUUUUCUAAAUUACCCGAUAUUUGAAAUAUUUAAGUAAUUUGAAAUGGAAAAAUUCCAUUUAAAUUUUAUAUUCAUGUAUCAUACUCGUCAUUAGAUAUUUGAAAUUUAAAAUUGAAUUAAAGUUUCCAAAUUUUUUAUAUCGUCUUAUUUUUGAUGAGAAAUAGCUUAGAUACUUUUUUAAUUACCCGUUCCCUUUUUAUACCCGUUCUUUUCCUUUAAGAUAAGAUCAUAUAUUUUUACAUAUAUAUGACAUCAUUUACAUGUUUUCUGUUUUUAAAAUAUUAUAUAGCCUGUAAUUAACUAAUUAAAUUACCCGUUCGUUCUCUUUUCAUAUCCGUUAUUUCUUGUCCCGAUAUUUGAAAUAUUUAAAUAAUUUGAAACUUACUUUUGCUAUUUAAAUUUCAUAUUCUUGUAUCAUACCUAUCAUUUGAUAUUUGAAAGUUAAAAUUGAAUUUAAGUUGUCAAAUUUUUUAUAUUCGUCUUGCUUUUUAUGAGAAAUAGUUUAGAUAAUUUUUUUUAUGAAUUACCGUUCCCUUUAUGUACCCGUUAUUUCCCUCUAAGAUAUGAUCGUAAAUUGUUUUUUAUAUAAAUGAAAUCAUUUACAUGUUUUUGUUUUAAAAACAACAUUAUAUAGCUUGUAAUUAACUAAUUAAAUUACCCGUUCUUUUUUUGUAUCCAUUUUUUUGUCCCGAUAUUUGAAAUAAGUAAUUUAAAACUUACUUUUGCUAUUUAAAUUUCAUAUUCAUGUAUCAUACCCGUCAUCUGAUAUUUGAAAUUUAAAAUUGAAUUUAAGUUUCCAAAAUUUUUAAAUCGUCUUGUUUUUGAUGAGAAAUAGUUUAGAUUUUUUUUUUGAAUUACAUGUUUUCUUUUUAUACCCGUUCUUUCCCUCUAAAAUAAGACCAUAUA